GGGUUUAUGAUGAGUUAUGAUUACAGAGCAUGAAGAAGUGAAGCUCAAUGUGAGUACUCUGAAGUCC